UACGGAGGGGGCUAGCGUUGUUCGGAAUUACUGGGCGUAAAGAGCUCGUAGGCGGUUCGAUAAGUCGGGUGUGAAACCUCCAGGCUCAACCUGGAGACGCCACCCGAUACUGUCGUGACUAGAGUCCAGUAGGGGAGCGUGGAAUUCCUGGUGUAGCGGUGAAAUGCGCAGAUAUCAGGAGGAACACCAGCGGCGAAGGCGGCGCUCUGGGCUGGAACUGACGCUGAGGAGCGAAAGCGUGGGGAGCGAACAGG
rnacentral:rRNA from 1 species